rnacentral:rRNA from 1 species
AUACGGAGGAUGCGAGCGUUAUCCGGAUUUAUUGGGUUUAAAGGGUGCGUAGGCGGCCUGUUAAGUCAGCGGUGAAAUCUAGGAGCUUAACUCCUAAAUUGCCAUUGAUACUGGCGGGCUUGAGUGUAGAUGAGGUAGGCGGAAUGCGUGGUGUAGCGGUGGAAUGCAUAGAUAUCACGCAGAACUCCGAUUGCGAAGGCAGCUUACUAAGGUACAACUGACGCUGAAGCACGAAAGCGUGGGUAUCAAACAGGAUUAGAUACCCUGGUAGUCCACGCUGUAAACGAUGUCGAUUUGGGGGUUGAGCUUUGAGCUUGGCGCCCGUAGCUAACGUGAUAAAUCGACCGCCUGGGGAGUACGGCCGCAAGGUUAAAACUCAAAUGAAUUGACGGGGGCCCGCACAAGCGGUGGAGCAUGUGGUUUAAUUCGAUGCAACGCGAAGAACCUUACCUACUCUUGACAUCCAGAGAACAUUC